ACAUGGGAAUUUCCGCUGGAGACUGCCUUGAGUAAACGUCUGAUGUUUUGCGUCUUUCUCGUCAUCUCAUUUAUAAAAUAUAUUGCUUGAGGAUCAAACCGUCAAAAACUCAUAUUUCGUUAAGAAUGGAAGCACAAUCUUCAAUCAAACCUAUUUUGACCGUGUGCGAUCAUUGUGGCCUUUGGUUGAUAAAUCCAAAAUGUGGACAUAAAAUUCAUUGGUCAGAUGUAGAGGACAUGAUCGUUGAUGUUAAUCAAGUUUUUCGUUGUCCUAUUUGCAACUGUACCGAUCCUGAAGUUGACGAGUUCAUCGAAGAUUUCAUAGGAUCGGUUAUGGCAAGCUUUUAAGCACUCAUUUUGUUGUCAGUACUUAUUUCGAAAGUUUCAAUAUCUUGUUCUAUUGCUCUGUCGCUAAUAUACUCCUCCAACCUUGCUUGGAUAUUUGAGCAGUUUCGUUCCAGUUUGUUUGCUAGUCACGCUAAUGAUAUUGAAAAUGUAUUGCACGAGUUUCGCCUCAUUUAAACAUAACAAUACCCUUUUAUAUUGGCAUGGUGGAAAAUCCAGAGUUCGGAGUCGGAGUAGUCUCUCCUCAUGCAAAGAUAGAAACUUCUAACACGAACUCCGCAUUUUCCACUUUAUGCCUCUGUAGAGUAGAAAAUGCGGAGUCUGUGUUAGACUGUGUUAGAAGUAUCCAUCUUUGCAUUUGGGGAGACUCCGACUCCGCAUUUUCCACAAUGCCUCUUAUAUUUUGGCAAAACCAAACAUCGAUGUCGUCGUAAAGAGGGAUGGUCAACGUGACAGCCAAAACAGUCUUUAGCAACAAGUAGACUUAUCAUAAAAUGUAUGUUUAGCAGCAUGUAGCACUUUAAUAAAUUAUCUUGUUAUGCAUGGUUUAACACUCUUGUAAAGUAAAGAAAUCUUUGACAAUGUUAUGACUCAGAAAACCAAA